AGUGGCGGACGGGUGAGUAACGCGUGAGAAUCUGCCUUGGGGUCGGGGACAACCACUGGAAACGGUGGCUAAUACCGGAUAAGCCGAUUGGUGAAAGAUUUAUUGCCCGAAGAGGAGCUCGCGUCUGAUUAGCUAGUUGGCGAGGUAAUAGCUCACCAAGGCAGCGAUCAGUAGCUGGUCUGAGAGGACGAUCAGCCACACUGGGACUGAGACACGGCCCAGACUCCUACGGGAGGCAGCAGUGGGGAAUUUUCCGCAAUGGGCGAAAGCCUGACGGAGCAAGACCGCGUGAGGGAGGAAGGCUCUUGGGUUGUAAACCUCUUUUCUCAGGGAAGAAGCUCUGACGGUACCUGAGGAAUCAGCCUCGGCUAACUCCGUGCCAGCAGCCGCGGUAAUACGGAGGAGGCAAGCGUUAUCCGGAAUUAUUGGGCGUAAAGCGUCCGCAGGUGGCGAUUCAAGUCUGCUGUCAAAGCACGGGGCUUAACUCCGUAAAGGCAGUGGAAACUGAAUAGCUAGAGUGCCGUAGGGGUAGAGGGAAUUCCCGGUGUAGCGGUGAAAUGCGUAGAGAUCGGGAAGAACAUCGGUGGCGAAAGCGCUCUACUGGACGGCAACUGACACUCAGGGACGAAAGCUAGGGGAGCGAAUGGGAUUAGAUACCCC
rnacentral:rRNA from 1 species